rfam:Triticum aestivum genome assembly, contig: Triticum_aestivum_CS42_TGACv1_scaffold_408727_5BL
CAUAUACUCCCUCCGUUCUGAAUUACUUGUCUUAGAUUUGUCUAGAUACAAAUGUACUAGAUACAUUUGUAUCUAGACAAAUCCAAGACAAGUAAUUCAGAACGGAGGGAGUACAUA